AUUUUGGAUAAUAAAAGUAAAGUUGGAACUGAGCGACACGCGACAACUGUAGACGACGUGUCGUUGCGACAUUGCU